CCUACGGGAUGCUGCAGUGGGGAAUAUUGGACAAUGGGGGGAACCCUGAUCCAGCGACGCCGCGUGAGUGAAGAAGUAUUUCGGUAUGUAAAGCUCUAUCAGCAGGGAAGAAAGAAAUGACGGUACCUGACUAAGAAGCCCCGGCUAACUACGUGCCAGCAGCCGCGGUAAUACGUAGGGGGCAAGCGUUAUCCGGAUUUACUGGGUGUAAAGGGAGCGUAGACGGCGAUGCAAGUCUGAAGUGAAAGGCGGGGGCCCAACCCCCGGACUGCUUUGGAAACUGUAUGGCUGGAGUGCAGGGGAGGUAAGUGGAAUUCCUAGUGUAGCGGUGAAAUGCGUAGAUAUUAGGAGGAACACCAGUGGCGAAGGCGGCUUACUGGACUGUAACUGACGUUGAGGCUCGAAAGCGUGGGGAGCAAACAGGAUUAGAUACCCUAGUAGUC
rnacentral:rRNA from 1 species